CUCUCCACCCAAGCCAACAGCUUCUAACUACAAACAUUCCGCCCUCUCGCUUUCCCUAGGUUCAUUUGUAGUUCUGUGUCACUCAUUUGUUUCUUUAAGAAACCUACCGGCCUCACAAAGAUCAAAAUCUUCGGUAACACGUUCAGCUGGCGUCACUGUGAAGCUGCAGGCACUUUCAUCGUGGCUGGCCAGCAAGGAGGACGUAGGAAGAAAAAGCAGGGAACCGGUUCCUCUUGAGCAAGCGCCAAAGCGAAGACUGAAAAGACUGGAAGAAAGC
rnacentral:sRNA from 1 species